CAGCCGUGCCCUAGAACGAGCGCCGGAGCCGAUCCUUAGCCGCGUCGCUGCCACUCCUUCCCGAUGCCUUCCUCUCCUCUGCCCGACGCCGACGACGCCAGGGAGUAGAGAGUCGACGAUUGAGUGUCUUCUCUUCCCCCUGUGCUCGCAUACCGCCGACCGGCCCAUGCCCUAGCUUCACUGCCCGACGCUUACUUCGAUCGCCGAUGCCCUAGCCGAGCCCUGCUGAAGCUGUGCCCUUGCUCUGCCGCCGGCCACAGAAUAGGGUUUUUAAUCUGCUGCGGCUAAAUUGGUUUUCUGAUCAGUUGAGCGUCAACAGGAGCUUGGGAUUUAGUAACUUUGUGAUCCCCAGCAGCGG